UGAGGAAUAUUGGACAAUGGGUGAGAGCCUGAUCCAGCCAUCCCGCGUGAAGGACGACGGCCCUAUGGGUUGUAAACUUCUUUUGUAUAGGGAUAAACCUUUCCACGUGUGGAAAGCUGAAGGUACUAUACGAAUAAGCACCGGCUAACUCCGUGCCAGCAGCCGCGGUAAUACGGAGGGUGCAAGCGUUAUCCGGAUUUAUUGGGUUUAAAGGGUCCGUAGGCGGAUCUGUAAGUCAGUGGUGAAAUCUCAUAGCUUAACUAUGAAACUGCCAUUGAUACUGCAGGUCUUGAGUAAAGUAGAAGUGGCUGGAAUAAGUAGUGUAGCGGUGAAAUGCAUAGAUAUUACUUAGAACACCAAUUGCGAAGGCAUGUCACUAUGUUUUAACUGACGCUGAUGGACGAAAGCGUGGGGAGCGAACAGG
rnacentral:rRNA from 1 species